ACGUUUCAACAGGUGGAAUAAAAAUCACGGAAGAAAGGAGUCAAACCGCCAACUGAUGGAGUUAAGGAGACCCUCAGUUGUGAGAAUGCACCCACAGCUCCGAGAACCUGAUGCAGAUAUUCGUUGAGUCCCUAUUGUAUGCCGUGUGCUGUGCAUUCCAUGAUGAACCCAAACCAUGAGCUGACAGUCUAGCAGAAAAGAGCAACAGGUAGUGAGUGGCCACAGGAGGCGUGUCAAUGGACUGUGGUUCAGUUUAGCAAAGUGGAAACGCUGAGCGAGGUCUGAAGUGAGGGACCGGAGAUGACUUUGGCCUGUGGACGCUGCACUGCCCACGAGACAUCCAGAUGCAGACAUCAAGGAAACAACUGGACCCAUGAAUCUAGAACUAAGAGAUCAAGAAGCCUCAUUAACAAUGCGCAGACGCUUCCCCCACAUGCGCCAGCAGGUCCUGAAGACUUUCACCAACGCCGCGGCGCUUCUGCCUCUGGACCAUGGGGAACCUGCCAGGACGAGGAAGCACUCUGCCCCAACUCACGCUUUCCCAUGAGAAUGCAUCGUCCUCCAGACACAGGAAAUGUGUCCUCAUGACACCAAGGCCCCCCCCGAAAUCCUGGAGGGCAAAAUCAUUGCGAAUCACCGAUGAACCAAGACCUGUCAGACUUGGGCGCGCUGCUUGCCGCUGAGCUGGAUGGUCUGAAAUGAGGAGACAUGAAGAAAAGACCCGCCUUUAUCUUCUCUGUCUGAUGAAACUGCAAGUUUGCACGUCGCCCUUGGUGGAAAGAGCAGACUCAUGGCUAAUUAUCCAAACGCGGCGCGCCAGUGUUGGCUGCCUGGCCCCUUGUGUCAAUAUGCUACUGAGGCCGGGGGCUGGAGUACGUUUCUGAAGCUGAUGUCUGGAACCUCCUACUUUAAUGAGGAAAGACAGAAGAAAUUUUCUGCUGUUAAAAAAGGUCUCUUCUCGGGCUUCCCUGGUGGCGCAGUGGUUGAGAGUCCGCCUGGUAAUGCAGGGGACAUGGGUUCGAGCCCUGGUCCGGGAAGAUCCCACAUGCCGCGGAGCAACUAGGCCCGUGAGCCACAACUACUGAGCCUGUGCGUCUGGAGCCUCUGCUCCGCAACAAGAGAGGCUGCGAUAGUGAGAGGCCCGCGCACCGCGAUGAAGAGUGGCCCCUGCUCGCUGCAACUAGAGAGCGCCCUCGCACAGAAACGAAGACCCAACACAGCCAAAAAAAAUAAAUAAAUAAAUUUAAAUCAUGUGGGCUUCUAAGAAGACCUCUGCUUAAAAAAAAAAUAAGUGGACGGUUCACAUACACAUUAGCAGUAACUUGGGUACUUUCAUCCAUUGAAAAAUAAAUUCAAUGUAGAAAAAAAGUAAAGUUAAGAUGCAUCAGGGCAAACUUAAUGGUGUGUUCUAAGCUCUCAAGUGUGUUUCUCUCAGGCAGAAGGCAUUCCUUCACUCGCCAUUGGCUGUUACACAAGACCACUGAGAACUGGCCAAUUUAUCCCCACUCCCCACAAAUCACAUCUCCCUCCCCCUAAAACACAUUAUUUCUAUUCAUAGAAACAUUCCUAGUUGCUAUAGCACAGUGUGAAAUCUUCAGUUUGGCCUCAGAUGCCUUUUACCUGUUAAAACCCUGAGAUCAACCCUCAUUGCCACCGGAGGAGCUUUUCUGCUACAGAUCAAGAAAAGGAAGGGGCUCUUGAGGCAGCAGAAUGCCAAGUCAGGCCACCACACUACUGAAGACGCUUUCUAUGAGCAUGUGGACAAACAACCGUCCUAAAUGCUAAACCAAAUCAAAGAAGAGCACCUCACCUGUUUGUGCAUGAGACGGAUGACGUGAAGAGAAGCGCCUAACACUCCCUGGGAGAGCCAGGGGUAGUGAUUCCUCCAGGGAAAUAUGGUAACUGGCUGCAGGCCUCACGGAGUCUUUGAAAUUCACUGCUUCAGCGAUCCUUGGAAAUAAAAGGGACAUUAUUACAAAACGGUAAAGGAAGGCAUUCAGCUAGAAGAUGGGUUUGAAAUUUAAUAUUAAACUUCAAAUUAUUGAGACAGUGAUCUUUUUUGGAAGAAUUUUUUUUUUUUUUUUUUUUUUUUGCAGUACGCGGGCCUCUCACUGCUGAGGCCUCUCUCAUUGCAGAGCACAGGCUCCGGACGCGCAGGCCCAGCGGCCAUGGCUCACGGGCCCAGCCGCUCCGCAGCAUGUGGGAUCUUCCCAGACCGGGGCGCGAACUCCGGACUCCCAACCACUGCGCCACCAGGGAAGCCCCUAGAAGAAUUUUUCAAUUCUGUUACUGAACACUACUCUAUUUAAGACUUUAUUCUGCCACCUGUAGGGACUACCAAGAUAGCUGCAGUGUAAUCUUGGACCACAAAUAACAACCUAGUUGAGGCCCAGGAAGCUGUCAAAUAACAAAGACUCAAAACGACUGGGCAUAGACUCUCCCCAAUCCCACUUAAUCGCUGUGUAGCCUUGGGGAGAUCACUUACAUUGCCUGAACUUCAGUUUCCCUAAUUAUAAAAUGGUGCGAUAAACAGUAGCAUGGUGGAUGAGAGGAAGAAACAAGUUGUUUUCCUCCACACAUCUUAGCUUCCUCGGCUGGAGCCCUGGACGUCAGACUGACUAGACAGACUAACAGAAGAAAAACCAACAGAAGUUUAUUAACACGUGCGUCAGAGUCCUCGGCGAUGAGCAACCCAAAAGAGCCGUUAGUACCUGGGUUAGCACCUAGCCUCUUAACUGAAGGAAUGAUGAACUUUCGGAGAAGUGACAGCGCUUUGAGUUUCUAGGGUGGCAAACUGUGGAAGGCAGGCCCGUGGGGGGACUGAUGGAAGAGGAAGAAUAGUCAGUGAGUUUUGUUACGUAGAUUCCUCCUGGGAUGUCGCUAGGUGAUAAGGGUCUAGGUUUGUCUCUGGUUCUUCCUAGUUAGAAAGGGGAGCGGAAGACAACUUUAUAAGUGUAUGCCCCGCUUUUAGGAAACAGGUGGAGUCCAGAAAGCUUUUUUGGUGUCUGUUUCUUCAAGUCUGCCUUCAGGAUAAAAAACAAAACAAAAAACACGCCCCCCCCCAAAAAAAAAACCCAAAUAGAAACAAAACAAAAAACCAACCAAA